rnacentral:tRNA from 1 species
GAACAAGAAACUAACAGUGUUAUGGUUUCGGCCCAUAAGUAUGGCUACACUUGUACCCUUGUUCU